rnacentral:rRNA from 1 species
UCGAGAAUUUUUCACAAUGGGCGCAAGCCUGAUGGAGCGACGCCGCGUGGGGGAUGAAUGGCUUCGGCCCGUAAACCCCUGUCAUUUGCGAUCAAACCUUGCUAUUUAAAAGAUGGCGAGCUGAUAGUAGCGAAAGAGGAAGGGACGGCUAACUCUGUGCCAGCAGCCGCGGUAAUACAGAGGUCCCAAGCGUUGUUCGGAUUCACUGGGCGUAAAGGGUGCGUAGGUGGUGGGGUAAGUCGGAUGUGAAAUCUCGGAGCUCAACUCCGAAAUGGCAUUGGAAACUACCCUGCUAGAGGGUCGGAGGGGGGACUGGAAUUCUCGGUGUAGCAGUGAAAUGCGUAGAUAUCGAGAGGAACACCAGUGGCGAAGGCGAGUCCCUGGACGACUCCUGACACUGAGGCACGAAAGCUAGGGGAGCAAACA